AAAGGAUAAACAAGUCGAAUCAAGAAACAAGUCCGCAACUAUUACAUCACCGUAUAGCACAGUUUAAUAAUCAAGAGAAUCAAAUCUAAGCUGUUUUCAACACAACAGCGUCGUACAACGCCACUACCACAAGCCAAACUCUGUUUCUCACCCUUCCUUGUCGUCGUGAUGCUAUGUUGGAGCUCGUGGGCGCGGAAGACAAAGCUGUACAGCUAGUGUUGUUGAUACGUAGACGUCAGCUGUGGAUUCGUCGAUGGCCGCGGACGGAGCGUCACCCAAAUCUUGCGCGGCGCCGUGGCAGUCUUCGGCCUGUGUCACGGACUCGUGGCCUCCUGCGCGCGACCGCGCGUGCAGCAGAAGUUUGGGCGCGGGACGGCAGGGUCUGGGCGCGGGACGGCAGGGUCUGGGCGCCAGCCGCGCGGGGUCCGGCCGUCCGGGGCUCCGGGGUUCGGGCGCAGGAGGCUGGGGCCUGGGGGUGGCCGGCCGGCGGCGGCUAGGAAGGAAAGGGGAUGAGGGACUGAGGAACGGAUGAUGGAUGGAGUGAGUCUAGGGUUUGGAAUUUCUCAGCUGGUUAUUAUAACCUCUCGUAUUGGGCCUCGUUUUGAUGGGCUGCUAGGCCGAAUUAUGAACUCCUGCUGAAAUUAGUCGGGGAUGCAGGGAGACGGGGACGGGGACGGGGACGGUGAAUCAUCCCAUUUAAUUCUCUGUGGGGAUCAAUUCC
rnacentral:lncRNA from 1 species